GAUGAACGCUGGCGGCGUGCCUAAUACAUGCAAGUCGAGCGAACGGACGAGAAGCUUGCUUCUCUGAUGUUAGCGGCGGACGGGUGAGUAACGCGUGGAUAACCUACCUAUAAGACUGGGAUAACUUCGGGAAACCGUAGCUAAUACCGGAUAAUAUUUUGAACCGUAUGGUUCAAAAGUGAAAGACGGUCUUGCUGUCACUUAUAGAUGGAUCCGCGCUGCAUAGCUAGUUGGUAAGGUAACGGCUUACCAAGGCAACGAUGCAUAGCCGACCUGAGAGGGUGAUCGGCCACACUGGAACUGAGACACGGUCCAGACUCCUACGGGAGGCAGCAGUAGGGAAUCUUCCGCAAUGGGCGAAAGCCUGACGGAGCAACGCCGCGUGAGUGAUGAAGGUCUUCGGAUCGUAAAACUCUGUUAUUAGGGAAGAACAUAUGUGUAAGUAACUGUGCACAUCUUGACGGUACCUAAUCAGAAAGCCACGGCUAACUACGUG
rnacentral:rRNA from 1 species